UUGGAGGGCAAGUCUGGUGCCAGCAGCCGCGGUAAUUCCAGCUCCAAUAGCGUAUAUUAAAGUUGUUGCAGUUAAAAAGCUCGUUGUUGAAUUUCGGGGUCAGUAGGUUGGUCAUGCCACUGGUAUGUACUGGUCUCACUGAUUCCUCCUUCCUGAUGAGCCGUAAUGCCAUUAAUUUGGUGUUGCGAGGAAUCUGGACUGUUACUUUGAAAAAAUUAGAGUGUUUAAAGCAAGCUAACGCUUGAAUACAUAAGCAUGGAAUAAUGAAAUAGGACGUUCGAUCCUAUUUUGUUGGUUUCUAGGAUUGACGUAAUGAUUAAUAGGGAUAGUUGGGGGCAUCAGUAUUCAAUUGUCAGAGGUGAAAUUCUUGGAUUUACUGAAGACUAACUACUGCGAAAGCAUUUGCCAAGGAUGUUUUCAUUAAUCAAGAACGAAAGUUAGGGGAUCGAAGACGAUCAGAUACCGUCGUAGUCUUAACCAUAAACUAUGCCGACUAGGGAUCGGAUGAUGUUAAUUUUUUAAUGACUCAUUCGGCGCCUUACGGGAAAC
rnacentral:rRNA from 1 species